rnacentral:rRNA from 1 species
CCUACGGGAGGCAGCAGUCGAGAAUCAUUCACAAUGGGGGAAACCCUGAUGCUGCGACGCCGCGUGGGGGAAUGAAGCUUUUCGGAUGUUAAACCCUUGUCAUGGGGAAGAAAAUAAAAAAGUUAGUACCACAAGAGGAAGAGCCGGCUAACUCUGUGCCAGCAGCCUCGUUAAUAGAGAGGUCGCAAGCGUUGUACGGAAUCACUGGACGUAAAGCGUGCGUAGGCGGUUGCGUAAGUCGUGUGUGAAAGGCGCGGGCUCAACCCGCGGACUGAACAUGAUACUGCGAGACUAGAGUAACGGAGAGGUAAUCGGAAUUCCAGGUGGAGCGGUGAAAUGCGUAGAUAUCGAGAGGAACACUCGUGGCGAAGGCGGGUUCCUGGACGUUAACUGACGCUGAGGCACGAAGGCCAGGGGAGCGAAAAGGAUUAGAUACCCUUGUAGUC